rnacentral:misc_RNA from 1 species
UUAACUAUUUUAUAGUGCUCAGACGACGCUAAUAUACAGAGUUGGGGGUCCUCUGGCGGGCACACUAGGGCGAACCCUAGGCGAGGCACUCGCGGCCCGCCAAAGCAACAGAUAAUAAUAAUACACAAGGGUGGGAGAUCUACCCGUGAGGGCAUGAACUCUGUAAUGAUCCUUCCGCAGGUUCACCUACGGAAA